rnacentral:rRNA from 1 species
UACGAAGGGGGCAAGCGUUGUUCGGAAUUACUGGGCGUAAAGAGCGCGCAGGCGGUCGUUCAAGUCGAGUGUGAAAGCCCCCGGCUCAACUGGGGAGGGUCACGCGAUACUGCUCGACUCGAAGGCAGGAGAGGGAAGUGGAAUUCCCGGUGUAGUGGUGAAAUGCGUAGAUAUCGGGAGGAACACCAGUGGCGAAGGCGACUUCCUGGCCUGUUCUUGACGCUGAGGCGCGAAAGCUAGGGUAGCAAACGGG